CAGGCCGCUGCCGUCCAGGAGGACGUUCCCGAGCAGGCCGCGGUCGUCCAGGUGGAGGUGUCCAAGGUUCCCGAGGCGGUGCCCGAUGCCGAGGCCGUUCCCGAUGCAAUGCCCGAGGCCGAGAAGGUGGCCGAGACAGAAGCGGUUCCCGAUGCUAUGCACGAGGCCGAGGCGGUGCCCGAUGCCGAGGCGGUGCCCGAGGCGGUCCCCGAUGCAAUGUCCGAUGCCGAGGCGGUGCCCGAUGCCGAGGCGGUUCCCGAUGCAAUGUCCGAUGCCGAGGCGGUGCCCGAUGCCGAGGCGGUGCCCGAUGCCGAGGCGGUGCCCGAGGCGGUUCCCGAUGCAAUGUCCGAUGCCGAGGCGGUGCCCGAUGCCGAGGCGGUCCCCGAUGCCGAGGCGGUGCCCGAGGCGGUUCCCGAUGCAAUGUCCGAUGCCGUUCCUGAGGCCAUUCCCGAGGCGGUGCCCGAUGCCGAGGUCGUUCCCGAGGCGGUGCCCGAGGCCGUUCCCGAGGCGGAGCCCGAGGUCGUGCCCGAGGCCGUUCCCGAGGCGGUGUCCUUGUCCAAUGCCGUUCCUGAGGCCGUUCCUGAGGCCGUUCCUGAGGCCGUUCCUGAGGCCGUUCCUGAGGCCAUUCCUGAGACCGUUCCCGAGGCGGUGCCCGAUGCCGAGGUCGUUCCCGAGGCGGUGUCCUUGUCCGAUGCCGUUCCUGAGGCCGUUCCUGAGACCAUUCCCGAGGCGGUGCCCGAUGCCGAGGCCGUUCCCGAGGCGGGGUCCUUGUCCAAUGCCGUUCCUGAGGCCAUUCCUGAGGCCGUUCCUGAUGCUGUUCCGGAGGCCGAUGCGGGGCCCGAGAUGGUUCUGGAGGCGAUACCCGUGUCCAAGGCCGUUCCCGAGGCGGUGCCCUUGUCUGAGGCCGUUCCCGAUGCCGUUCCCAAUGCCGUGACCUGGCCAUCGCCACAGCCUGCUCCUUACUGGCUCCCCGAUUGGCAGGUUCCGUUCGGGCCACUCAAAUGGCGAAUUCCUCCCUGGCCGUCUGCACAACGAGAAUGGACUGAUCCACCGUGGCCACCUGAACUGCCUGGCCCCUCGUGGUCCCCCUGAACUUUCGGGUCCACCGUGGCCACCUGAACUGCCUGGUCCCUCGUGGUCCCCUGAACUUUCGGGUCCACCAUGGCCCCCUGAUCUGACCGAGCCACCUGGGCUACCAGGGGAGCCA
ensembl:lncRNA